rnacentral:tRNA from 1 species
UCCAGGGUAGCCUAGUGGACAUGGCAUCUGCCCGGUAAGCGGAAGGUCGGGGGUUCGAUUCCCAUCCCUGGAC